rnacentral:tRNA from 2 species
GCCCAAGUAGCUCAGAUGGUAGAGCGAGGUCAUCAGAAUAGCCAUUAUAAUCCACAGACCUUAAAACAGUGGUUGCGAGUCGCAGGUUCGAGUCCUGCCUUGGGCG